GACGAACGCUGGCGGCAUGCCUAAUACAUGCAAGUCGAGCGAACAGAUGAAGUGCUUGCACUUCUGACGUUAGCGGCGAACGGGUGAGUAACACGUAAGGAAUCUACCUAUAAGCGGGGGAUAACAUUCGGAAACGGGUGCUAAUACCGCAUAAUAUCUUCUUCCGCAUGGAAGAAGAUUGAAAGACGGCUCUGCUGUCACUUAUAGAUGACCUUGCGGUGCAUUAGUUAGUUGGUGGGGUAAUGGCCUACCAAGACGAUGAUGCAUAGCCGAACUGAGAGGGUGAUCGGCCACAUUGGGACUGAGACACGGCCCAAACUCCUACGGGAGGCAGCAGUAGGGAAUCUUCCGCAAUGGGCAAAAGCCUGACGGAGCAAUGCCGCGUGAGUGAAGAAGGCCUUCGGGUCGUAAAACUCUGUUAUAAGAGAAGAACAAAUUGUAGAGUAACUGCUACAGUCUUGACGGUAUCUUAUCAGAAAGCCACGGCUAACUACGUGCCAGCAGCCGCCGCAG
rnacentral:rRNA from 1 species